rnacentral:lncRNA from 1 species
AAACACAAAGUAAACAGUAGCAGUCCAUCAAUGCUGGCUUCCAUAAAUUCCAUAUUCCAUGAAGUGAAUCAAAUAUGCAAAAUGAAAAUAAGAAAGUCAGAAGAAGAAGAAGAAUAAAACUAGAAUAAUAAUAAUAAUAAUAAGAAAACUAGAAGAAGAAGAAGAGGAGGAGGAAGAAGAAGAAGAAGAAGAAGGAGAAGAAGAAGAAGAAGAAGAAGAACAAGAAGAAGAAGGAU